rnacentral:lncRNA from 1 species
CAAAUGAUUUCUAUUUCAAUUGGACCAAUUCACAGCUAUGGUAAUGAUAUAUUUGCAUACUUGUCUGUACACAGCCCCUCCAAAAUGAUCAUUUUUGUCUUUGGUCUUGUUGCCAGUCUGAUGAGUGUGAGAUGAAACCUCAUAGUUGUUUGAAAUCCCAUUUCUUAUUUUGAAAUCUGCCUGUUUAUAACCUGGUAGCACUUAUCCAUUAGGGAAUGGCUUAUACUCUUAUAUAUUUGUAUUAAUUCAAAAUAUAUUUUUACAUUCCUUUAUACAAGGCACAGAAAUUAGUCUUUAUCCUAUGUUUAAAAGUUUGCAGAAAUGAAGUAUUUGUAAAUUGUUGUUAAAAGAUAUCAUUUUUUUUUCUUUUAAAGAGUGUCAGGGAGUCAAAAGUGACUUGAAAUUUGUAUGAACCAAAAAAGAGAUUCUUCCUUUGACUACACAAGCAACAGCUGUCUAGCUUCCUGCACAGUACUGGAUCUAAUGCCUCUACAGAAAUCUAGGUCAAAACACUUGGAAUGCAUGAAUAUCAAACAGAGUUUUCAAAACAGCAAAUGAAUACAUCUUUAACUGGUGACAUUUUCCCGUAGCAUAUGGCUGCAAGCUCAGGGGGACUGCAUGCUUUUUUGAUGAAUAUGUUCCGUCAAAAACUAAGGGAUGGCAGUGGGCUUAUGUCACCUUCUGUUUUGCCUUAUGAAAUGAUAAUGCAAAUGCAUAGCUAGAUACGAUGAUCACAGGAUUUUUACCUUCAGUCCAAUUCUAAAGUCACAUCACACCUCCUGGUUGCAUUGCUAAGUCUUUGGUCAUGUUCAGAUGUACAGGAUGCCCUGUCAAAGACGUAGUUGGAGAAAAAAGUUGCCUUUGUUGAAUGGAGUGUGACUAGUGGCAAGUAAAAUAACUGACCCAGAAAGCAGAAGACAGAAAUUUUGGGAGGGAUUCUUCCACAUCAGAAAUAUGUAGUCAAAAAGAGUUGAUGUGAUGCACCUUGGGAAAUUCAUUCUUGAUUCAUGGAGUCAUAUGAGUGAGCGACACAAAGCAUGAAUGAAGUAAAGAGAACUGAGUUCUAGUGCCAACUGUGUCACUAACUAACUAGCUCUGUAACUUUGGGCAAAUCUCUUGGGUCUGUUUCCUUAUCUGGGAAAUGGAAAGGGCAGGUCUAGAUAAUAUUGAAGAACUGGACUAGGUACAACUUCCUCAUUUUAACAGAAAACAAACAAAGAAAUAAACAAACAAACAAACUGGGAUCCA